rnacentral:rRNA from 1 species
AGUAGGGCGGGACACGUGUUAUCCUGUCUGAAUAUGGGGGGACCAUCCUCCAAGGCUAAAUACUCCUGACUGACCGAUAGUGAACCAGUACCGUGAGGGAAAGGCGAAAAGAACCCCUGUGAGGGGAGUGAAAUAGAACCUGAAACCGUGUACGUACAAGCAGUAGGAGCACCUUCGUGGUGUGACUGCGUACCUUUUGUAUAAUGGGUCAGCGACUUAUAUUCAGUGGCAAGGUUAACCAUCUAGGGGAGCCGUAGGGAAACCGAGUCUUAACUGGGCGCCAUAGUCUCUGGAUAUAGACCCGAAACCGAGUGAUCUAGCCAUGGGCAGGUUGAAGGUUGAGUAACAUCAACUGGAGGACCGAACCGACUAAUGUUGAAAAAUUAGCGGAUGACUUGUGGCUAGGGGUGAAAGGCCAAUCAAACUCGGAGAUAGCUGGUUCUCCCCGAAAGCUAUUUAGGUAGCGCCUCGGACGAAUACUACUGGGGGUAGAGCACUGUUAAGGCUAGGGGGUCAUCCCGACUUACCAACCCUUUGCAAACUCCGAAUACCAGUAAGUACUAUCCGGGAGACACACGGCGGGUGCUAACGUCCGUCGUGGAGAGGGAAACAACCCAGACCGCCAGCUAAGGUCCCAAAUUACAGCUAAGUGGGAAACGAUGUGGGAAGGCUUAGACAGCUAGGAUGUUGGCUUAGAAGCAGCCAUCAUUUAAAGAAAGCGUAAUAGCUCACUAGUCGAGUCGGCCUGCGCGGAAGAUGUAACGGGGCUAAGUUGUAAACCGAAGCUGCGGCAAUAUCUUUUAGAUAUUGGGUAGGGGAGCGUUCUGUAAGCCGUUGAAGGUGUGUUGUAAAGCAUGCUGGAGGUAUCAGAAGUGCGAAUGCUGACAUGAGUAACGACAAGGGGGGUGAAAAACCUCCCCGCCGGAAGACCAAGGGUUCCUGUCCAACGUUAAUCGGGGCAGGGUAAGUCGACCCCUAAGGCGAGGCCGAAAGGCGUAGUCGAUGGGAAACGGGUUAAUAUUCCCGUACUUCUUACAAUUGCGAUGGGGGGACGGAGAAGGCUAGGUGGGCCUGGCGACGGUUGUCCAGGUUCAAGUGCGUAGGCU